AACUGCAAGUCGAACGCGCAGCGUAAAGGUGCUUGCGCCUUUCAAGCGAGUUGGCGAACGGGUGAGUAACACGUGGUAUAACCUGCCUCAUGGCUGGGGAUAACAUUUGGUAAACAGAUGCUAAUACCGAAUAAAACUUAGUAUCGCAUGAUACAAAGUUGAAAGGCGCUACGGCGUCACCUAGAGAUGGGUCCGCGGUGCAUUAGUUAGUUGGUGGGGUAAAGGCCUACCAAGACAAUGAUGCAUAGCCGAGUUGAGAGACUGAUCGGCCACAUUGGGACUGAGACACGGCCCAAACUCCUACGGGAGGCUGCAGUAGGGAAUCUUCCACAAUGGGCGAAAGCCUGAUGGAGCAACGCCGCGUGUGUGAUGAAGGCUUUAGGGUCGUAAAGCACUGUUGUAUGGGAAGAAAUGCUAGUAAUAGGGAAUGAUUCUAGUUCGACGGUACCAUACCAGAAAGGGACGGCUAAAUACGUGCCAGCAGCCGCGGUAAUACGUAUGUCCCGAGCGUUAUCCGGAUUUAUUGGGCGUAAAGCGAGCGCAGACGGUUGAUUAAGUCUGAUGUGAAAGCCCGGAGCUCAACUCCGGAAUGGCAUUGGAAACUGGUUAACUUGAGUGUUGUAGAGGUAAGUGGAACUCCAUGUGUAGCGGUGGAAUGCGUAGAUAUAUGGAAGAACACCAGUGGCGAAGGCGGCUUACUGGACAACAACUGACGUUGAGGCUCGAAAGUGUGGGUAGCAAACAGGAUUAGAUACCCUGGUAGUCCACACCGUAAACGAUGAAUACUAGGUGUUAGGAGGUUUCCGCCUCUUAGUGCCGAAGCUAACGCAUUAAGUAUUCCGCCUGGGGAGUACAACCGCAAGGUUGAACCUCAAAGGAAAUUGACGGGGACCCGCACAACCGGUG
rnacentral:rRNA from 1 species